rnacentral:rRNA from 1 species
AUUGAACGCUGGCGGCAGGCCUAACACAUGCAAGUCGAGCGGAUGAAGGGAGCUUGCUCCUGGAUUCAGCGGCGGACGGGUGAGUAAUGCCUAGGAAUCUGCCUGGUAGUGGGGGAUAACGUCCGGAAACGGGCGCUAAUACCGCAUACGUCCUGAGGGAGAAAGUGGGGGAUCUUCGGACCUCACGCUAUCAGAUGAGCCUAGGUCGGAUUAGCUAGUUGGUGGGGUAAAGGCCUACCAAGGCGACGAUCCGUAACUGGUCUGAGAGGAUGAUCAGUCACACUGGAACUGAGACACGGUCCAGACUCCUACGGGAGGCAGCAGUGGGGAAUAUUGGACAUUGGGCGAAAGCCUGAUCCAGCCAUGCCGCGUGUGUGAAGAAGGUCUUCGGAUUGUAAAGCACUUUAAGUUGGGAGGAAGGGCAGUAAGUUAAUACCUUGCUGUUUUGACGUUACCAACAGAAUAAGCACCGGCGAACUUCGUG